rnacentral:rRNA from 1 species
AUACGUAGGUGGCAAGCGUUGUCUGGAAUUACUGGGCGUAAAGCGUGCGCAGGCGGCUUUGUAAGACAGGUGUGAAAUCCCCGGGCUCAACCUGGGAAUGGCGCUUGCGACUGCAAAGCUGGAGUGCGGAAGAGGGGGAUGGAAUUCCCCGUGUAGCAGUGAAAUGCGUAGAUAUUCGGAUGAACACCGAUGGCGAAGGCCAUCCCCGUGGCCUGCACUGACGCUGAUGCACGAAAGCGUGGGGAGCAAACAGGAUUAGAUACCCUGGUCGUCCACGGCCUAAGCUAUGUCAGCUGGUUGUUGGGGCUCUUCUGACUCAGUAACGAAGCUAACGCAUGAAGUUGUCCGCCUGGGGAGUACGGUCGCAAGACUGAAACUCAAAGGAAUUGACGGGG